CUCGCACUAUUGGAUGAGCCUAUGUCUGAUUAGCUAGUUGGUAGGGUAAAAGCCUACCAAGGCGACGAUCAGUAGCUGGUCUGAGAGGAUGAUCAGCCACACUGGGACUGAGACACGGCCCAGACUCCUACGGGAGGCAGCAGUGGGGAAUAUUGGACAAUGGGCGCAAGCCUGAUCCAGCAAUGCCGCGUGUGUGAAGAAGGCCUGAGGGUUGUAAAGCACUUUCAAUUGUGAAGAAAAGUUUAAGGCUAAUAACCUUAAACCGUGACGUUAACUUUAGAAGAAGCACCGGCUAACUCCGUGCCAGCAGCCGCGGUAAUACGGAGGGUGCGAGCGUUAAUCGGAAUUACUGGGCGUAAAGCGUGCGUAGGUGGCUUGGUAAGUCGGAUGUGAAAGCCCUGGGCUCAACCUGGGAACUGCAUUCGAUACUGCCUGGCUAGAGUAUGGUAGAGGGAAGUGGAAUUUCCGGUGUAGCGGUGAAAUGCGUAGAUAUCGGAAGG
rnacentral:rRNA from 1 species